rnacentral:rRNA from 1 species
UGGGGGAAAAUUAAUAUAAUAAAAUAAAUAAUAAAAAUAAUUAUAAAAAAUAAUUAAUGGGGGUUAAAGUAUUUUUUAGAAAAAAUUUAUUAAUUUAUAGUUUAAUAGUAUUGUGAAAGAAUUUUGAAAUAAAGUUAAAUAUGGAUUAUUAUUUAAGUAAAUUUAAUUUAUUGUAUCUUGUGUAUCAGAGUUUAUUAAUAAAAUAUUUUUAAAUAAAAAUAUCUCGAAUUUAAAAGAGAUAGUUAAUUAUUAAAGUUAAUGUGACAUAAUUAUUUUAAAUAAUUAAUUUGAAAUGAAAUGUUAAUCGUUUUUAAAAAUAUCUAGUUUUUUUAGAAAAAAAUUUAAUUUUAAAUUAAUUUAAUAAUUUUUUAAAUUUGUUAUAUAAAAUUAUAUAUUUAAUUAAAUAUUUUAAGGGAUAAGCUUUAAAUUAAAUUUUUAUAAUAUCAAUAAAUUAUUUAAAUAUUUUAAAAUUUAUAUUUUUUAUAAAUUAUAAUUUUUUAUAAAUAAUUUUAUUUAUUUUAAAAUUUAAAUUUAUAUUUAAAUUUAUAUAAAAAAAUAAUUUUUAAUAAUAAAAAAUUAGUUAUAAUUAUAAAAUUAGUAUAUAAAAAAAAAAUAAAAUAAAAUUAAUUAAAAUUAAUAAAAAGGAAUUCGGCAAAAAU